rnacentral:rRNA from 1 species
UACGUAGGGUGCAAGCGUUGUCCGGAAUUAUUGGGCGUAAAGAGCUCGUAGGCGGUCUGUUACGUCGGCUGUGAAAACCUGGGGCUCAACCCCGGGCCUGCAGCCGAUACGGGCAGACUAGAAUUCGGUAGGGGAGACUGGAAUUCCUGGUGUAGCGGUGAAAUGCGCAGAUAUCAGGAGGAACACCGGUGGCGAAGGCGGGUCUCUGGACCGAUAUUGACGCUGAGGAGCGAAAGCGUGGGGAGCAAACAGG